GUUGCCAUGGUGACAGUGGCGUUCCCAGGCUGCGCUCCCUUCCUGCUGGCUCUGGACAGGAGGGUUUGUCAGGCUGUGUCUCCUGUGGCUGCUGGACGGGCGCAGAAGAAAGGGGGCCCUGAGAGCCGAACAGGGAGCUGACCAUCCGGACUGCCAGGCUGGCUCCUGACCACCCCCGGUGCCCACAGGGAGGAGGCCGGUGGUGUCCUGCUCCUGGGUGACCCUCUGGGGCCUCCUCCAGGAAGCCGUCCUGUGGGCAGAGUGCCACGGGGAACCUUGGCUCUGCCUGUUGGUGUUUGUCAUGAUCUUGCUCUCCAGGGGAUGGUGCAUCUCUCCUAAGUGUGGCCUCUUGUAACAGAGGAAACGAAAUCGGGGAGAGGGUGCCUGUGGAAGUGCGAGGUUCACUGGGAAGACCAACUUUUGCUUUACUGAGGCUGUAAGAUGCGCCUUCCAGGUCCUUGGUCACCAGCUGUCCCUGGCUCCUUGGCAGUGUGUUUCUGACGCACUAGUCUGUGAAUCAGGACAGCGAGAACCUCUUGGCCGCCGUGUGGAUUUCCAGGGUGUCCCGGACAAGCAGCACCAUUGUUUGAAUCAGCUUGGAGUGAAAAGAAGGAAUGUGUGCUGUGUCUGUGUCCACACGCACACAGAUCCAGUUUUUAAACUACUGAAACAGCAGCACACGCUGGUCCCAGAAUGGCUGUCACGGGAGCUUACGUCGUGCAGGAAAGUCAAGCACGCCUCAGGGGGUGGCUGUCCCUCCAGCCAUUGUCACGCCAGCGGAUGCGUUGGCUGAAGGCCAGCUGGCUUUGGACGCAGGGUCUUCUCUGUGCUGG
rnacentral:lncRNA from 1 species